rnacentral:rRNA from 1 species
CCUACGGGAGGCAGCAGUGAGGAAUAUUGGUCAAUGGGAGAGAUCCUGAACCAGCCAAGCCGCGUGAGGGAAGACGGCCCUAUGGGUUGUAAACCUCUUUUGUCGGAGAACAAAACCCGGGACGUGUCCCGGACUUCGUGUAUCCGAAGAAAAAGCAUGGGCUAACUCCGUGCCAGCAGCCGCGGUAAUACGGAGGGUGGAAGGGUUGUCCGGAAUCAUUGGGGGUAAAGAGUUCGUAGGCGGCAUGUAAAGUCAGGUGUUAAAGGCGCAGGCUCAACCUGUGUAUGGCACUUGAUACUUGCAAGCUGGAAUGCGGUAGAGGUAAAGGGAAUUCCUGGUGUAGAGGUGAAAUGCUUAGAUAUCAGGAGGAACAUCGGUGGCGUAAGCGCUUUACUGGGCCGUAAUUGACGCUGAGGAACGAAAGACAGGGUAGCAAAUGGGAUUAGAUACCCG